AGCCCGCGGCCUAUCAGCUUGUUGGUGGGGUAAUGGCCUACCAAGGCGACGACGGGUAGCCGGCCUGAGAGGGUGACCGGCCACACUGGGACUGAGAUACGGCCCAGACUCCUACGGGAGGCAGCAGUGGGGAAUAUUGCACAAUGGGCGCAAGCCUGAUGCAGCGACGCCGCGUGAGGGAUGACGGCCUUCGGGUUGUAAACCUCUUUCAGCACAGACGAAGCGCAAGUGACGGUAUGUGCAGAAGAAGGACCGGCCAACUACGUGCCAGCAGCCGCGGUAAUACGUAGGGUCCGAGCGUUGUCCGGAAUUACUGGGCGUAAAGAGCUCGUAGGUGGUUUGUCGCGUUGUCCGUGAAAACUCACAGCUCAACUGUGGGCGUGCGGGCGAUACGGGCAGACUGGAGUACUGCAGGGGAGACUGGAAUUCCUGGUGUAGCGGUGGAAUGCGCAGAUAUCAGGAGGAACCCCCCGCCGCGCCCCGCGCCCGGC
rnacentral:rRNA from 1 species